GCAACCAGUUGGCUAGGUCUAACCACCUCCCUCACUUCUGGAUUGAAGAGAAAAGAAGGGUAAUGACCAUCUGUUAUGCCCAUUUUAAGCAUGUUUAAUCUGGUUUUUUGGGUUCUGUUCAGUAAGGAUUUCAGAUGGGCUCGAUCAAAACCUUUUCAUUACAUAUCAACUGUGCAUUUUUUUUUUUCACUCCCAUUGCCUAGUAGCAUCUUUUUCUUUAAUUUUACUUUCAUACAUUACAUGGUGAGUUGGGGAAGGUGGGUUCAUGUUUUUUUUUUUAAAAAAAAAAAAAAAAUGUAAUUGUGUAUUAUUAGUUCGUAAUGGGGGUUGGUUGUCGAGAUGGCGUUUGCUGUAAUUACAUUUGUUUUUCAUAUUUGAAGCGAUUUCUGAUUUGUUGA